rnacentral:piRNA from 1 species
GGGGUGCAUUACUGUCUUCUGGACAUUCAU